rnacentral:sRNA from 1 species
ACUCCGUACUGGAAGUAGGAGGAGAGUCGGGACUCCCAGGACAGGGAGUGCACAAACUAUCCAGCACAGCCCCCUCCGCCCCCUUUGGAGGCUGAAGAGGGAUUCCAGCCUCUGCCACCCACAGACAGGGGCUGACUGGGGUGUCUGCCCCCCUUGGGGGGGCAGCACAGGGCCUCAGGCCUGGGUGCCGCCUGGCACCUAGAAGAUGCCUGUGCCCUGGUUCUUGCUGUCCUUGGCACUGGGCCGAAGCCCAGUGGUCCUUUCUCUGGAGAGGCUUGUGGGGCCUCAGGACGCUACCCACUGCUCUCCGGGCCUCUCCUGCCACCUCUGGGGUGCCACCAAAUUCUGGGCUUGGAACAGCUUCAGCUCCCACCCACCCCUCCACACACAGACAGUGACAUACUCUGCCUGCCUGGGGACAUCAUGCCUGCUCCGGGCCCCGUGCUGGCGCCUACACAUCUGCAGACAGAGCUGGUGCUGAGGUGCCACAAGGAGGCCGACUGUGACCUCUGUGUGCGUGUGGCUGUCCACUUGGCCGUGCAUGG